UACAGAGGUCCCAAGCGUUGUUCGGAUUCACUGGGCGUAAAGGGUGCGUAGGUGGUCAGGUAAGUCGGAUGUGAAAUCCCCGAGCUCAACUCGGAAACUGCAUUGGAAACUACCUGGCUCGAGGGUUGGAGGGGGGACUGGAAUGCUUGGUGUAGCAGUGAAAUGCGUAGAUAUCAAGCGGAACACCAGUGGCGAAGGCGGCGAUCUGGACGAUGACUGACGCUGAGACGCGAAAGCGUGGGGAGCAAACAGG
rnacentral:rRNA from 1 species